UUGUCCGUACUUUGGAGGAAGACUUGCAGAGAACUAGGAAUGAACUUGCUAUGCUCAAGGCGAAGCAGAAGGAAGACGAGAAGGAUAGGAAUUCUUCAUGGACAAGCUUUCUGCAAGAUCAGCUGCUCUUGGUGAUAAGGAACUCGAGGAACUAAAGAUUCAGGAGCAGAGAGGGAAAGCUCCUACAGAGAUGGACAGAGCAAGUUUUAUCAGUUUUAUUCAGAGUUUUACCAGUCUAAGAAGAAGUUGAUUGAGGAGAGAAUGGACUUCGUAGAGAAACUUGCUCGGAGAAAGUAUGACUUGAGCUCAGAUAAAGAUGUGCACGAGGAGUUAAUAAAUAAAAUGGACAUUGGAGAAUUCGUCUAGGAGAGUGAGUUCAGGCAUUGGAGAAUACAGUCUUCUUAUUCAAAGCUACGACAUCGUUACGAGAUAAGCUGAAAGAUAGCACUGGAAAGCCCCUGGCAGAUCAACUACAGAAGAAAACCGAAUAUAUAGGAGCCCUUCAUGAGGAGAAUGAGAAACAUAAGCAGGCUGGUAAUGACAUCAGGAGGAUCUAUAAAAUGGAGAAGCAGGAGAUUAUCGAUCAGAAGAAAGAGAGGUUUUUACUUUCUUGUUCACUCGCGUUACCGUCAACUGCCUCUGGUACCAAAAAAAAAAAUAUCAAUCAUUUAAUCAAGUUUCCGGGACAAAGUUCCUGCAGAAAUGGAAAGGAAGCAUGAAGAAACUGGCAGAAUGCGGGGGAGUCAAAACAGAAGUUGACAUGCAUGCCUGCUCUGAUAUAAACCAGAAACUGAAGUGAUUCAAGCUUGAAAAUUUGGCAUUUCCCUUCUGUUUCUGCAUAUAGAAUUCGUGUCUCGAAUAAGCGGGAUCUGUUUUGACGAGUCGUGGAAACUAUUCAGGGUGCUUGCUCAACAAGGACAAGUUUUUGGGUAAUUUUUAUAAUAGCAAGGACGAACAAACUGACUGCAGCCAUCAUCACGUAUGAAUCGUCGAGUACUCCUGAUUAAAUUUUAUAUGUUUAAUUUUAUUUGAUAUUGGAAAGUUUGUCUUUUUACUC